GGAUGUCUGUUUGGGCGCGUAGGAGGUCAGUUCGGCAAAUCCGGCUGGCAUUCUCCGAGACGCCUGUGGAAGUGCGACCCUCACGGGUCAAGCCAACUGCUUCGAAGGGCCGCCAAGAAAAGCCUCUAAGGGAGUCCAUUUUCCGACCGUAUCAUAAUCCGACACAGGUAGACGAGGCGAAUAGCCUAAGGUGCGCGAGAGAACCAUGGAAAAGGAACUCGGCAAACUAGCCCCGUAACUUCGGGAGAAGGGGUGCCAACAUGGGUUACAGGACUUGCUCCUGGAAGCUUUUGUUGGCCGCAGUGAAAGGUCCCAAGCGACUGUUUACCAAAAACACAGGUCAACGCAAAACACGUAAGUGGACGUAUGUUGACUGACACGUGCCCGGUGCUGGAAGGUUAACAGGAGAUGUCAGGCGCAAGCUAAAGCAUUGAAUCGAAGCCCCAGUAAACGGCGGCCGUAACAAUAACGGUCCUAAGGUAGCGAAAUUCCUUGUCGGGUAAGUUCCGACCUGCACGAAUCGUGUAACGACUUGGGAGCUGUCUCCUCCGUGGACUCGACGAAAUUGCAGUCUUGGUGAAGAUGCCAAGUACCCACAUCUGGACAGAAAGACCCCAUGAACCUUUACUGUAUCUUGGCAGUGGUCUUAGGUUGCGUUUGUGUAGGAUAGGUGGGAGGCUGUGAGACGGUGCCGCUAGGUAUCGUGGAGCCAACCUUGAAAUACCACCCUGAUGUAACUUGAGAUCUAACCUAUCCCCCUGAAGCGGGGGAAGGGACACUGCCUGGUGGUCAGUUUGACUGGGGCGGUCGCCUCCUAAAUUGUAACGGAGGCAUCCCAAGGUUCCCUCAGCGCGGUCGGUAAUCGCGCGUAGAGUGCAAAAGCAUAAGGGAGCUUAACUGCGAGACUGACGGGUCAAGCAGGUACGAAAGUAGGGUUUAGUGAUCCCGCGGACUAGCGUGGAAUUGCCGUUGCUCAAUGGAUAAAAGGUACUCUGGGGAUAACAGGCUGAUCUCCCCCAAGCGUUCACAGCGACGGGGAGGUUUGGCACCUCGAUGUCGGCUCGUCGCAUCCUGGGGCUGUAGAAGGUCCCAAGGGUUUGGCUGUUCGCCAAUUAAAGCGGCACGCGAGCUGGGUUCAGAACGUCGUGAGACAGUUCGGUCCCUAUCCGAUGUGGGCGUUGGAAAUUUGAAGGGAUCUGACUCUAGUACGAGAGGACCGAGUCGGACGAACCACUGGUGUAUCCGUUGUUCCGCCAGGGGCAGCGCGGAGUAGCCAAGUUCGGAGCGGAUAAACGCUGAAAGCAUCUAAGCGUGAAACCCAUCCUAAGAAUAGAUUUCCCGUGGGAUUUAUUCCCCCAAAAGACCCGUAGUAGACUACUACGUCGAUAGGUCGCAGAUGUAAGCCCCGCGAGGGGUGUAGUCCAGCGAUACUAAUAGGUCGUGCGGCUUCCCG
rnacentral:rRNA from 1 species